rnacentral:rRNA from 1 species
UGUGUAGGCUGUUUAUUAAGUCUAAGAUUAAAGCCCGAGGCUCAACCUCGGUUUGUUUUAGAAACUGGUAGACUUGAGUAUAGUAGAGGCAAGUGGAAUUUCUAGUGUAGCGGUUAAAUGCGUAGAUAUUAGAAGGAACACCGGUGGCGAAGGCGACUUGCUGGGCUAUUACUGACGCUGAGACACGAAAGCGUGGGGAGCAAAUAG